UACGUAGGGACCGAGCGUUGUCCGGAAUCAUUGGGCGUAAAGAGCGUGUAGGCGGCCAAUUAAGUCCUGCGUGAAAUCUCGGGGCUCAACCCCGAGCGGUCGUGGGAAACUGGUUGGCUAGAGUGCGGGAGAGGAGAGUGGAAUUCCUGGUGUAGCGGUGAAAAUGCGCAGAUAUCAGGAAGAACACCCGUGGCGAAGGCGGCUCUCUGGAACGGUACUGACGCUGAGGCGCGAAAAGCGUGGGGAGCGAACAGG
rnacentral:rRNA from 1 species